AUUGAACGCUGGCGGCAUGCCUUACACAUGCAAGUCGAACGGUAACGCGGGGCAACCUGGCGACGAGUGGCGAACGGGUGAGUAAUGCAUCGGAACGUGCCCAGUAGUGGGGGAUAGCCCGGCGAAAGCCGGAUUAAUACCGCAUACGACCUACGGGAGAAAGCGGGGGACCGUAAGGCCUCGCGCGAUUGGAGCGGCCGAUGUCAGAUUAGGUUGUUGGUGGGGUAAAAGCCUACCAAGCCGACGAUCUGUAGCUGGUCUGAGAGGACGACCAGCCACACUGGGACUGAGACACGGCCCAGACUCCUACGGGAGGCAGCAGUGGGGAAUUUUGGACAAUGGGGGCAACCCUGAUCCAGCCAUGCCGCGUGCGGGAAGAAGGCCUUCGGGUUGUAAACCGCUUUUGUCAGGGAAGAAACGCUCUGGGCUAAUACCCCGGGGUAAUGACGGUACCUGAAGAAUAAGCACCGGCUAACUACGUGCCAGCCGCCGCCGUAAUAC
rnacentral:rRNA from 1 species